AGGACGAACGCUGGCGGCGUGCUUAAUACAUGCAAGUUGAGCGGAGCUAAUAGUGAGUUUACUUAUUAUUAGUCGAGCAGCGGACGGGUGAGUAACGCGUGGGCAAUCUGCCCUCUAGUUUGGGAUAACAGUUCGAAAGGACUGCUAACACCGAAUAAUCUUAAAUUUGGGCAUCUAAAUUUAAGGAAAGUUAACGCUAGAGGAUGAGCCCGCGUCCCAUUAGCUAGUUGGUGAGGUAACGGCCCACCAAGGCAACGAUGGGUAGCCGACCUGAGAGGGUGACCGGCCACACUGGGACUGAGACACGGCCCAGACUCCUACGGGAGGCAGCAGUAGGGAAUUUUCCGCAAUGGACGAAAGUCUGACGGAGCAACGCCGCGUGAGGGAUGAAGGUUUUCGGAUCGUAAACCUCUGUCCUUGGGGAAGAUAAUGACGGUACCCAAGGAGGAAGCCACGGCUAACUACGUGCCAGCCGCGGC
rnacentral:rRNA from 1 species